AUUGAACGCUGGCGGCAGGCCUAACACAUGCAAGUCGAGCGGGGUGAUGGUGCUUGCACUAUCACUUAGCGGCGGACGGGUGAGUAAUGCUUAGGAAUCUGCCUAUUAGUGGGGGACAACAUCUCGAAAGGGAUGCUAAUACCGCAUACGUCCUACGGGAGAAAGCAGGGGAUCACUUGUGACCUUGCGCUAAUAGAUGAGCCUAAGUCGGAUUAGCUGGUUGGUGGGGUAAAGGCCUACCAAGGCGACGAUCUGUAGCGGGUCUGAGAGGAUGAUCCGCCACACUGGGACUGAGACACGGCCCAGACUCCUACGGGAGGCAGCAGUGGGGAAUAUAGGACAAUGGGGGGAACCCUGAUCCAGCCAUGCCGCGUGUGUGAAGAAGGCCUUAUGGUUGUAAAGCACUUUAAGCGAGGAGGAGGCUCUUUUGGUUAAUACCCAAGAUGAGUGGACGUUACUCGCAGAAUAAGCACCGGCUAACUCUGUGCCAGCCGCCGCCGUAA
rnacentral:rRNA from 1 species